GAGAAGGAGAGUGUCGAAUGAGCGCUAUGCUUGUGGAUUGUCUUUUUAUAUGGGGACUGACAGUUUUAUAUCAAAGCCCCCCAUGCUAGAAAAUGACGGAUCUUUGAAGUAAUGUUGAGUUUUGAAAAAGUAAUCCUUAACUAUAGACUAUCUUUUGAUGGGAUUACACCAGCCCAUGGCCCUUUUAUCAAAGUCACACCCCCACACUGCCUUUGCCCUUGCUUAGACAACUCUCAUAUCCAAACUUGGGCUUUAUUUUGAUCACGACGACACACCUGUAAAGUUAUGUGACAGCGACAAUAAGAGAAGGAUGGGGCUUGACACAGCUGAGGAGGAAUCGUUUGUGGGAGGCCCAGGAGACACUGCGACCAAGGUGGAAUCAUCGAUGUGUCACACUACAUGCACAGGGAAGAGCGGAGAGGAACCAACCAACCACGAUAUGGGCCCAGCACAUC